AAAUUUUCUGUGGAUGCAGAUUUAUAAAGAUGUCAAAGAUCAUCCUAUUCCUCUGUUCAGCAAAUACAGAGAAAUCAAAAGAACAAAUAGCGCCCAAAACCAAUAAUUUUUCUUUGAAAGGAGGAAAGUCUUUGAGGUUCAUAAAAAAAAUAUUCAAAAUACAAGUAACGAUGCCUCUUUCAAAUCAACGGCAAAACAUGAGCAUUAACGAACACAAAGUAUUCGAAAUUGAGAGCGAUAUUUUCACACUAGUGUCGAAGUGAUUAGGCACUUUGUACACAUUCUUAAGAAUUUUUCCUCAAGUAACAAGAGCCCUAAGAAAGUGGUCCCAUCUACAGAGUUGGCAAUUUCGGUACAUCCAUUGUUACCAAUCUCGUGCAUCUCCCUCUAGAAAGAAAGAGCAUACAUUCAAGCGUUGCUCAUCUGGAACAUUGUAAGUGUCAAAACACUAAUGAGCUUGGAAAUCCCAACUCUCUGCGUUGGUACCAUCAAACUUAGAUAAGUCAAUCAGUGCAGAUUUAUCACGUCGAAAUGGAUUAAGGGCAUGGGGUGGAACUGGAAGCACCUGGUGUGGGGGUUGCCGAUUCAGUGUGGGUGUUGGUGUAGUAUGCUGAUAAAAAGUUUGUGGAAGUGGCAUAAAUGACUUAGUUUGCUGAUUCAAUGUGGGUUAGAGACGGCGCCGGAGGCGAAGGGUGCAAUGAAGCCAGUUGAGUUACAAUUUCUUGUAAGGUAGUGUUGAUGAAGCCAACGACUUUAGAGUGGCCAACAAAUUGUUCUUGAAGUUGUUUCACAGCCUCAUCAAGAGAUUUCAGACAAGUGUUGUGUGCACCAUCACCCAUGGUAGAAGGAGGGACAAUGAAAGCACCAAAUGUAACAAGAGGAACUUUGUAUUAAAGAUAAAUUGAUUGCAGGUCACAAGAGGAACAGGUCCUCUUCUUCAGGGAAUAACAAAAGGCAAAACAAAGGAAAAAAGAAGAAAAGGGAGGUUCCAGAUCUGAUUCUAAGCAACAAAAAGAGAAGCAAGUUCAUCCAUGGCCUUCUUUAGUGAAAUCUGUCACUAUUUAUACUACUCUAGCAGCUAUUGCUCUUGCUUCUUUGCUUACAUCUCAGGCAGAGUUUGUUUUCCUUUUGCAUCUGGGACUACAUACUGAUCCAAGUAUUGUGGCACCCGUUUGUACAUGGUUACUUUGCAAAGUGAAUAUUUCUUCAGAUAGGAGGAACUUUGAGGGUUAGAAUUAGAACUUAGAAGAAUGGUGUUUGGUCAAGUAGUGAUUGCCCCCCUGUUUUCGGCAAAAUCACUUAUUGCAACGGGAUGUCUCAGUUCCUCCAGCUGAUCGGACGCUAAGCGGAUAGAGUUAUUGCUGGUGGGACCAAGGGUGGCUCAAUAGAAUGAGUGGCCUAAAGCUAAAAUUUAGAAACG